rnacentral:lncRNA from 1 species
GUUCAAUUCCCAGCCACCACAUGGUGGCUCAUAGCCAUCUAUAAUGAGAACUGGAACCCUCUUCAGGCCUGCAGACAUAAUGCAGGCAAAACACUGUAUACAUAAUAAAUAAAUCUUUAAAAAAAGAAAUGUAAGGUAUGGUUCAUAGAUUUAUAAAUUUAGGUUUAGAAAUACUUAUUGAUAAGAUUGAAUCUAUUUUUUAAAGUUUAUUUUAUGUAUAUGAGUAUAUUGUAACUGUCUUCAGACACACCAGAAGAGGGCAUACUUGGUGUGAGGAAGAAUCAUUUUCUUCAAGUCCUUUGUUUUUUAUAUAAACACACGUUCUAUACACACAAAAUAAUUGUAAGAAACAUAAUCACAUUAUGUGGAAUCACAUAUUUGUUCUGAAUGUUAAAGGAUAUAUAGUAUCAGAUGCCAGUAGUGGCAUGUUUAACGUGCUUUGGGAAUAGAUUCAUGUAGACUGGUGUAGCCUUUUUUUUUUCUUCCUUUAUAAUUUUAUUGAGGAGGAAUGUUUAGAACUUGAAAGAUUUCUCUAGGGUCUAGAGAGAUGGUUCAGCAUUUAAGAGUGUGAAAUGCUCUUCCAGAAUAUCUGAGUUUGGUUCCUCGUGCCCACGUCACUGGCUCAGAACUACCUGUACCUCCAGCUCUAGGAGAUCUGAUGCUUCUGGCUUACUCACACACCCAGACGCUCUAGUGAUGUGCACAUGAUAAAACAAUUAAACAGGAGCUUGAAAGAUGGCAGAACAAUUAAGAGCAUUGUCUGCUCUUGGAGGAGACCAGCACCCACAUGGGGGUUCACAAUGGUCUUUAACUUGAGUUUCAGGUGACCUCAUGUCCUCUUCUGACCUGUGGGUACCAGGCAAGCAUGUGGUGCAUAUAUAUAUAUAUGUAUAUAUAUACAUACAUACAUAUAUAUAUAUAUAUACACACACAUAUAUAUAUACACACACACAUACAUAUAUAUAUAUACAUAUAUAUACAAAUAUAUAUAUACACACACAUACAUACAUACACACACACACACACAAAUAUACAAGAAGGCAAAAUACCUAUAUACAUAAACUGAUAAUAGAGAAAUAUUCCCAAAAGAAAUGUUUUCAGUGAGAUUAGCAGCAUAUGCCUCUAUUCCAUCACUUGAGAAUUAAAUUGGAAUUCAAGGCCAGCCUCAGCUGCUUUAGUAAGAUACAGUCCAACUCUUAUAUAUGAGAUCUUUCCAAAGAGAGC